rnacentral:rRNA from 1 species
CUACCAUGCAGUCGAGCGGUAGCACAGGGGAGCUUGCUCCCUGGGUGACGAGCGGCGGACGGGUGAGUAAUGUCUGGGAAACUGCCUGAUGGAGGGGGAUAACUACUGGAAACGGUAGCUAAUACCGCAUAACGUCGCAAGACCAAAGAGGGGGACCUUCGGGCCUCUUGCCAUCAGAUGUGCCCAGAUGGGAUUAGCUAGUAGGUGGGGUAAUGGCUCACCUAGGCGACGAUCCCUAGCUGGUCUGAGAGGAUGACCAGCCACACUGGAACUGAGACACGGUCCAGACUCCUACGGGAGGCAGCAGUGGGGAAUAUUGCACAAUGGGCGCAAGCCUGAUGCAGCCAUGCCGCGUGUGUGAAGAAGGCCUUCGGGUUGUAAAGCACUUUCAGCGAGGAGGAAGGUGGUGAACUUAAUACGUUCAUCAAUUGACGUUACUCGCAGAAGAAGCACCGGCUAACUCCGUGCCAGCAGCCGCGGUAAUACGGAGGGUGCAAGCGUUAAUCGGAAUUACUGGGCGUAAAGCGCACGCAGGCGGUUUGUUAAGUCAGAUGUGAAAUCCCCGGGCUCAACCUGGGAACUGCAUUUGAAACUGGCAAGCUAGAGUCUCGUAGAGGGGGGUAGAAUUCCAGGUGUAGCGGUGAAAUGCGUAGAGAUCUGGAGGAAUACCGGUGGCGAAGGCGGCCCCCUGGACGAAGACUGACGCUCAGGUGCGAAAGCGUGGGGAGCAAACAGGAUU